UACGAAGGGGCUAGCGUUGUUCGGAAUCACUGGGCGUAAAGGGCGCGUAGGCGGCUUUGUAAGUCGGGGGUGAAAGCCUGUGGCUCAACCACAGAAUUGCCUUCGAUACUGCAUGGCUUGAGACCGGAAGAGGUAAGUGGAACUGCGAGUGUAGAGGUGAAAUUCGAUAGAUAUUCGCAAGAACACCAGUGGCGAAGGCGGCUUACUGGUCCGGUUCUGGACGCGUGAGGCG
rnacentral:rRNA from 1 species